rnacentral:rRNA from 1 species
UCAGUUCGGAUCGGAGUCUGCAACCCGACUCCGUGAAGCUGGAUUCGCUAGUAAUCGCGCAUCAGCCAUGGCGCGGUGAAUACGUUCCCCGGGCCUUGUACACACCGCCCGUCAAGCCAUGGGAGCCGGGGGUGCUUGAAGUGCGUCGCCGCAAGGCGCGCCCUAGAGCAAAACCGGUGACUGGGGCUAAGUCGUAACAAGGUACC